AUUGAACGCUGGCAGCAGGCUUAACACAUGCAAGUCGAGCGGAGUGAUGGUGCUUGCACUAUCACUUAGCGGCGGACGGGUGAGUAAUGCUUAGGAAUCUGCCUAUUAGUGGGGGACAACAUCUCGAAAGGGAUGCUAAUACCGCAUACGUCCUACGGGAGAAAGCAGGGGAUCACUUGUGACCUUGCGCUAAUAGAUGAGCCUAAGUCGGAUUAGCUAGUUGGUGGGGUAAAGGCCUACCAAGGCGACGAUCUGUAGCGGGUCUGAGAGGAUGAUCCGACACACUGGGACUGAGACACGGCCCAGACUCCUACGGGAGGCAGCAGUGGGGAAUAUUGGACAAUGGGGGGAACCCUGAUCCAGCCAUGCCGCGUGUGUGAAGAAGGCCUUAUGGUUGUAAAGCACUUUAAGCGAGGAGGAGGCUCUUUUGGUUAAUACCCAAGAUGAGUGGACGUUACUCGCAGAAUAAGCACCGGCUAACUCUGUGCCAGCCGCCGCCGUAA
rnacentral:rRNA from 1 species